rnacentral:rRNA from 1 species
CUACGGGUGGCACCAGUGAGGAAUAUUGCACAAUGGAGGAAACUCUGAUGCAGCAACGCCGCGUGGAGGAUGACGCAUUUCGGUGUGUAAACUCCUUUUAUAUGUCAAGAGAAUGACGGUAGCAUAUGAAUAAGCACCGGCUAACUCCGUGCCAGCAGCCGCGGUAAUACGGAGGGUGCAAGCGUUACUCGGAAUCACUGGGCGUAAAGGACGCGUAGGCGGGAUAUCAAGUCAGGUGUGAAAUCCUACAGCUUAACUGUAGAACUGCACUUGAAACUGGUAACCUAGAGUAUGGGAGGGGGAGAUGGAAUUAGUGGUGUAGGGGUAAAAUCCGUAGAUAUCACUAGGAAUACCUAAAGCGAAGGCGAUCUCCUGGAACAUAACUGACGCUAAGGCGUGAAAGCGUGGGGAGCAAACAGGAUUAGAUACCCCGGUAGUC